GCCCAAGUUUGCCCAUGCCUGCUUUAGAGUGUGGAAAGUUUACUGCAUUACCUUCUUGCCAGAGCAGUACCUAUUGAUCUACUCACAUUUGCAUGUCUCUGAACUGCUAGGUUCGCAGAAGCUGGGUGUGACGGCGCGAGUAGAGCCAUCUAUAUGUCAAACUGCCAACCUGGACGACCUUGAGGAGUCUGAAGCGCCUUCAAAUCAGUUUUUUGGCAUCAGAGGAAGACUGUGUCUUCAAACAUAGGCCAUUUGGACUAAGGCUGAGGAUUGCUCCGGCACUCACAGCCAUUGAGAAAGAGGGACCUGGAAAAGCUUCUCAGCUGCAGAGCUCCCUGGACUCAAGACAACCAGAGACUGUAAUGUAUAUUUUCCUUUAUCCCUUUGAAACUUCCAGCUUAUUGGGAUAACCUUUUGUGAACAAUAAAACCAGUUUUGAGUUAUCUACAGUGUUUUGGUCCUUGGGAGUUCCAGUUUCCCUAAAGGAGGGCAAGAAGCAAUCCCAUGGGGAAAGAUGUCACGUCUAUGCCUCUUUCGCUAAGAGUUAUAGCCCCAGGCACGAUGGCAUAGUGGGGCUAACAGUGGGAGCUCACCCCACUCCCCGGGUUAAACUGCCGAUCUUUCGGUCAGCAAGUCACUGGUUUAACCCGCUGUGCUACCAGUGGCUCCUAAUCUGGGAUCAGAUACUAGGAUAUAAGGACAGUGUAGAAAUAGUCAUCCAUAAACCAAAUCAACAAUUGGGCCACACAAUUUACAAAAAACCUAUGCACACUGAUAGAUACCUACAUAAAAACUCCAAUCAUCGCCCAGGUCAAAAAUGAAGCACAACCAAAGCCCUGGCAGACCGCACAAACAGGAUCUGCAAACCCCACCUUCUCCAAGGGGAACUGAGCCAUCUAAACUGGGCUCUACAGGCCAAUGGAGACUCCACCACAGACAUCAGAAGAGCUGCAAGGCCAAGAACAGGUCAUGGGAGUAAAGACAAAUAUCCACCCAGAGGAAAAGUGUUCUUGCCAUACAUCAAGGGAACCACUGACAGGAUAGGGAAGCCGAUGAAGAAACAUAACCUACGUACAAACUAUCUACAGAUCUGUUGGAAAAAACGUCAUCCUGUACUGCUGAAGUCUCGAUGGUUAGAUAGGAAGCCUAGAAAAGAGUUAGGGACACCUUUCCCCAGUCCUUUGCAUGCUUUGAUUAGGCUUUACUAUUGUUCCCUCAUUCCUGUCCUGUUUAGGUCAACCCCACCCUUUGAUGCUUUAGAAAUGUGAUCUCUCCUAGGGCUUUGACGUAACUUCCCCAAUUUGGCCUUUGGAAUGUUUAUGGCCCUAGAGAAGAAGAGACCCACGAGGCUGGUCGCCAUUCCUUCUUCCUGCUUUGUUCCAGAUAGAGGACGCACUUUGUCCCUCUUCUAGCCAAGAUGUAGCUAUCUAGAUCUUUGUUAUUUUGAUCUGUCUAUGUGUAUUAGAUCAGAUUAGAUAAGUUAGUUAGCUCCAAACCUUUUCUAUCCAUCAAUGGAUUUCUUUUUUUACCUCAAUAAAUGCUUUUAAACUUUAAA